GCUUAGCCCUAAACCUAGAUAGCCAAUAACAACGCUAUUCGCCAGAGUACUACUAGCAACAGCUUAAAACUCAAAGGACUUGGCGGUGCUUCACACCCCUCUAGAGGAGCCUGUUCUGUAAUCGAUAAACCCCGAUAAACCUCACCAACCCUUGCUAAUACAGCCUAUAUACCGCCAUCUUCAGCAAACCCUAAAAAGGAAAUAUAGUAAGCAAAACUAUAUAACAUAAAAACGUUAGGUCAAGGUGUAGCCCAUGGGUUGGAAAGAAAUGGGCUACAUUUUCUAAUAUAGAACAUUCCAACGAAUAUUCCCGUGAAAUCGGGGAUGGAAGGAGGAUUUAGUAGUAAAUUAAGAAUAGAGAGCUUAAUUGAAUUAGGCCAUGAAGCAC
rnacentral:rRNA from 1 species